UACGGAAGGUCCAGGCGUUAUCCGGAUUUAUUGGGUUUAAAGGGAGUGUAGGCGGUCUGUUAAGCGUGUUGUGAAAUUUAGGUGCUCAACAUCUACCUUGCAGCGCGAACUGGCGGACUUGAGUGCACGCAACGUAUGCGGAAUUCAUGGUGUAGCGGUGAAAUGCUUAGAUAUCAUGACGAACUCCGAUUGCGAAGGCAGCGUACGGGAGUGUUACUGACGCUUAAGCUCGAAGGUGCGGGUAUCGAAC
rnacentral:rRNA from 2 species